AUGAACGCUAGCUACAGGCUUAACACAUGCAAGUCGAGGGGCAGCAUGAACUUAGCUUGCUAAGUUUGAUGGCGACCGGCGCACGGGUGAGUAACACGUAUCCAACCUGCCGAUGACUCGGGGAUAGCCUUUCGAAAGAAAGAUUAAUACCCGAUGGCAUAGUUCUUCCGCAUGGUGGAACUAUUAAAGAAUUUCGGUCAUCGAUGGGGAUGCGUUCCAUUAGGUUGUUGGCGGGGUAACGGCCCACCAAGCCUUCGAUGGAUAGGGGUUCUGAGAGGAAGGUCCCCCACAUUGGAACUGAGACACGGUCCAAACUCCUACGGGAGGCAGCAGUGAGGAAUAUUGGUCAAUGGACGAGAGUCUGAACCAGCCAAGUAGCGUGAAGGAUGACUGCCCUAUGGGUUGUAAACUUCUUUUAUACGGGAAUAAAGUGAGGCACGCGUGCCUUUUUGUAUGUACCGUAUGAAUAAGGAUCGGCUAACUCCGUGCCAGCAGCCGCGGUAAUACGGAGGAUCCGAGCGUUAUCCGGAUUUAUUGGGUUUAAAGGGAGCGUAGGCGGACGCUUAAGUCAGUUGUGAAAGUUUGCGGCUCAACCGUAAAAUUGCAGUUGAUACUGGGUGUCUUGAGUACAGUAGAGGCAGGCGGAAUUCGUGGUGUAGCGGUGAAAUGCUUAGAUAUCACGAAGAACUCCGAUUGCGAAGGCAGCCUGCUGGACUGUAACUGACGCUGAUGCUCGAAAGUGUGGGUAUCAAACAGGAUUAGAUACCCUGGUAGUCCACACAGUAAACGAUGAAUACUCGCUGUUUGCGAUAUACAGUAAGCGGCCAAGCGAAAGCGUUAAGUAUUCCACCUGGGGAGUACGCCGGCAACGGUGAAACUCAAAGGAAUUGACGGGGGCCCGCACAAGCAGUGGAGUAUGUGGUUUAAUUCGACGCAACGCGAAGAACCUUACCAGGUCUUGACAUCCUUUGACCACCUAAGAGAUUAGGCUUUCCCUUCGGGGACAAAGUGACAGGUGGUGCAUGGUUGUCGUCAGCUCGUGCCGUGAGGUGUCGGCUUAAGUGCCAUAACGAGCGCAACCCUUAUCGAUAGUUACCAUCAGGUUAUGCUGGGGACUCUGUCGAGACUGCCGUCGUAAGAUGUGAGGAAGGUGGGGAUGACGUCAAAUCAGCACGGCCCUUACGUCCGGGGCUACACACGUGUUACAAUGGGGGGUACAGAAGGCAGCUACACGGCGACGUGAUGCUAAUCCCGAAAGCCUCUCUCAGUUCGGAUUGGAGUCUGCAACCCGACUCCAUGAAGCUGGAUUCGCUAGUAAUCGCGCAUCAGCCACGGCGCGGUGAAUACGUUCCCGGGCCUUGUACACACCGCCCGUCAAGCCAUGAAAGCCGGGGGUACCUGAAGUGCGUAACCGCGAGGAGCGCCCUAGGGUAAAACUGGUGAUUGGGGCU
rnacentral:rRNA from 1 species